CAUAUGACCUUAUGCAGUUGCGAGCGCCGUAAAACACUUACAAAAACAAACAAAAAGACUGCUCAUUUGCCUUGCUUUCAAUGUAGAAAAAAAAUGUAUCGCAUGUAUCUUGAAUGGAAAUGAAGAUACUUGCUAUUGAAGGAGAUGUGGGUUACCUGUGUCGGGAUGUAAAGUUACAAAAAAAUUAUCACCAAAGUUUGGUGACGUCCAAGGCUUGGGUCUACUUGGAGACGGAAAAUUUACAUUUUUUGUGCCGUGGUCGACUUUUAUUUGUAAAAUCUAAAACAGAAAAAAAAAUUUCAAUGGACAUAAAAGGCGUAGAGCCAAAAAAACCCAAAAAAACAAAUGAAACAAAAUUCCAUAAAAAUUGCCCAACGAGUGGAUAAAUGCUGGUUUCUUCGAUGUCAUUAUGUUGAUGAGCGCCUGAUUUCGCCCGCACGCCUCACAAGUGACGACACGUCAUGGAAUUCCCCCAAGUUGCCGUCACAGUCGCUGACUACCUCGUAAAUCAGCAUAAUCGUGUUGAUACGGGAGUGAUAUAUUUACCAAAACAAAACAAAAAAAUUAAUCAAUAAAAAUAAGAAAGCAGAAAAGAUUUUUUAUUUUUUAUUUUUAAAGCACCGAGAGAUGCUGAUAUAUGUGUCAAAUCAUAGGUCAAACUGGUGUGUCUGUGUCAGGUCAUAGGUCAAACUGGUGUGUCUGUGUCAGGUCGUAGGUCAAACUGAUGUGUCUGUGUCAGGUCAUAGGUCAAACUGGUGUGUCGGUGUCAGGUCAUAGGUCAAAGUGGUGUGUCUGUGUCAGGUCGUACGUCUAACUGGUGUGUCUGUGUCAGGUCGUAGGUCAAACUGGUGUGUCUGGGUCAGGUCGUAGGUCAAACCUGUGUGUCUGGGUCAGGUCGUAGGUCAAACCUGUGUGUCUGGGUCAGUUCGUAGGUCAAACUGGUGUGUCUGUGUCAGGUCGUAGGUCAAACUGGUGUGUCUGUGUCAGGUCGUAGGUCAAACUGGUAUUUCUGGGUCAGGUCGUAGGUCAAACUGGUGUAUCUGUGUCAGGUCGUAGGUCAAACUAAUAUGUGUCAUGAUUUGGUGGAGUCAGGCGCUCGUCAAUUUUGGGGCAUAUAGGGUUAUUGGUAUCAUCUUGAAGCUUGUUAAUUUGCCUUCCUUUUGGCGAAAAAGAUAUCAAUCUAUGUUGAAUAGAAGUCGAAAUAUUUGCGAUUGAAGGAGGUCAGGGUCACCUGAGUAAAAUUGUCGAGAAAAUGGCCAACAAAGUUUGGGAACUUCCACAGCCUUUUAGAGUCCAUGGAAACUGGGAAAAAAAAAUUUUUGGUGCUUUUAAAGUUUUUCAGUAAAAUCCUCACAAAAAAAGUGUUUUGAAGUGGACCUAAAAGGUGUAAAGCCAAAAAAAGAAAAUUAGAAAAAAAAUUGCUUUUUUAUUUUUAUUUCACUAUUUUGAGCGGCACCUGAUUUCACUAAGAUGCUUUCCAUCUGUCUGUGUCAGGUCGUAAGAUGAUGGUGGCAUAAAAGCUCUUCUGUUUAAAAAGCAACAAAAUGUUUGUAGAAAA